CCUACGGGAGGCAGCAGUGAGGAAUAUUGGUCAAUGGCCGGAAGGCUGAACCAGCCAUGCCGCGUGAAGGUCAGUGCCCUAUGGGCGUUAAACUUCUUUUGUGCGGGAGCAAUAAUGGUCACGUGUGGCCAGACGAGAGUACCGUACGAAUAAGCAUCGGCUAACUCCGGGCCAGCAGCCGCGGUAAUAAGGGGGAUGCAAGCGUUAUACGGAUUUAUUGGGGUUAAAGGGUGCGUAGGCUGUGAGGUAAGUCAGCGGUGAAAUGAACCCGCCGAACGGGGUGAAGUGCCAUUGAUACUGCCUUGCUGUGAUGCGGAUGCAGUGGGAGGAAUGUGUUGUGUAGCGGUGGAAUGCAUAGAUAUCACACAGAACCCCGAUUGCGAAGGCAGCUUACUAAGCUGUGACUGACAUUGAUGCUCGAAAGUGUGGGUAUCAAACAAGAUUAGAUUCCCCGGGUAGUC
rnacentral:rRNA from 1 species